rnacentral:rRNA from 1 species
UACGUAGUUGGCCGGGCCUUCUUCUGGAGGUACCGUCAUUUUCGUCCCUCCUGAAAGCGGUUUACAACCCGAAGGCCUUCAUCCCGCACGCGGUGUCGCUGCAUCAGGCUUUCGCCCAUUGUGCAAUAUUCCC